rnacentral:misc_RNA from 1 species
AACAACAGAGUGCCGCCUUCCAUGCCGCUGAUGCGGCAUAUCCUGGUAACGAUAUCUGAAUUGUUAUACAUGUGUAUAUACGUGGUAAUGACAAAAAUAGGACAAGUUAAAAAUUUACAGGCGAUGCAAUGAUUCAAACACGUAAUCAAUA